UGCGCGCUCACGCCCGCGGCCGCGCUGGCCUGGCUGAUCCGCAGGAGGAGCCUCUAGGGAGAGGGGCGCUGGACGGAGCGGGGAGCAGGCGGGACGCGCAACAGGCUGGAGCAAACCCUGUGCCCUUGGAGAAAAUUGUUUCCCCUUUUCCUCCAGGGAAUCCAGAGCCUGAGCAGCAGCUGUGAAGAGUGGAGAGAAAGAAAGAAGUGGGAGAUGCUGGAAGUGCUUUGGGCGACAUGAGAAGGAGGAUUUGCCCGGAAGGAGCUGUUCAAGGGCCCAGCAGCAAACCAGAGACACAAAACCUGCUUAUAUAUAGAAGAAUGUAACCCCUGUGUAUGCAGACGUGGACGCGUGCAUGCCUUGUCGAGAGCGUAAGCGACAUUCCCUGUAGAUCGCUGCUGUGAGCAGCCCUGCUCCUGCAGGCCGAGCCUUGGCACUGCUGCUGGCCCUGCUGGACACCACCCACUGCCCUGCUGCCCCAUUUAUGCAGCAGGAUGAGGAGGAAUCUCUACACCCAGAUUAGUAAUGCUGAGAAUUCCAAACGUGCUGCAGCGCGGGCACGGCCCAGGCGUGGCGGGAGCGGGUGCGGAGCAGCUCGGACAGCAGUUUGUGUGUGUAAAUAUUCAUGCUCUGGCACCAGGGGAGAGCAGCUUUCCUAUGACUUUAGUUUCUCUGGUGCUACAUUUAAUAUUUGUCUGGGGCUAAACUGCCUCUCUGUGGUGCUACAGUUUCCCCAAGAGGAUGUUCUGAAACGUGGGACAAGGAAAGAUCUAUUUUGGUUAUUGAUAUUUAUACACAAGAUAGCAAAAAAUAAGACUUGUUGAGAAGGUGCUAUUUUUUUUUCUUUCUUUCAAUCUCUGCAGAAACUAAGACAAAACAAAUAAUCUACCCCAGAAAACUUUAUAAAACUCCUUUUCUUUGGAGCAGUUCUUUUUCUUUUGACAGUGUGGAGCUUGGGAAGCAGCAGGCACUGAGGUGGAAAGGACACAGAGCCCUUUCCACUGCAGUGUGCACAUCAAAGUCUGCUAGAGCAGCACUUCCUACAGCUCCAGAGCUGGGAAUUCUCCUGCAUGGUGAUUUAUUCAGUCCCAAAUCCCAUGAGCCAGGGAAGAGAAUUCUUAUCCAGACUGAUCACUAGAGCAGGGGAUAACAGGAGAACUUAGCCUUAGAAGUCAAAGGGCUUUUUUCAGUCUAGUACUGAGCACUUUUUUCCUUGCAGCCAAAACUGCCUGUCAGAUUUCGGGUACCUUCCACAUCCAGCAACCUGUGCACAGUUUUUUAGAAACAUUUUUCCUACCUUCAGACAUUUGCACCAGAAAAUUGACCCUGUCAUGGCAGGGAGGGCAUUUUCAAAGGCAUAAAGGAAUGUUAGAACCCAAUUUCUAAAGGAAAUUUGGCUCCCUGUGUUUUAAAAAUAUUUCCCACCCCUCACCCAGCCCAGGAAGUGAGUGGCCUCUGUGUCCAGUCAGACCCUGCAUUCCCCACUGCUGCAGGAGAAAUGUUUCUAAGCAAUCUGAAAGCUAAAUUCUCCCUUUAUCAAAUAUUCACCGCAGUGUUUUGAGCCCCUGCACACAUUUUCCUGGCUGUUAUUGAUCCAAGUCCAUUCCCAACCAGCAGCAAGGGCUCUGCUGGAAGAGCAGAUUGUUCCUAGUGAAGAACCUUGCCCUGCCUUAGGGGAUGUGCAGUGUUGGGAGGGGUGAUGUAGCUCCAUGUAGUUUGUCUGUCCAUACCCUUUGGAUGGUCUCAGAGCCACAGGGACCACUGAAACAUUUUCCUGCCAUUUUUGGCCUGAUGCUCAGUAAUCCUCAGCAUCCUGCACCCCUUCCCAGCUCAGUCUCCUACAGAAACAUGGACAAAUUCUUCUAACAAAAGGAGGAGCCUCAGCUGAUUCCAGCAGUGCUGCCAGUGCUGGGCAGAGCCUUAAAAAUACCAGUUUCUGGAAAUCCCUGGAAUGUGGGAGUGAAAUUGUGCAUGUGGAAUUGCACAAGCCCCACCUGAACAGGAACCAUGGAUGUGACACUUGGCUGUAGGGCACACCCCCUGCAGCUCUGCCCUGCACAUCCUGCCCAGCCCUGGGACAGGCCCAGAGCUGGGUCACAUCCCUCAGAGGCUCUCCCACAGAUUCCUCACCUUUAUCAGCUCUGAAUGUAAUGAACUCCUCCCUUGGAAGAGGCAUUAUUCCAUUUUCCCUGUGCACACAGCUGGCACUGCCCUUUGCUCUCCUGCUGCCCUGGCUGUUGGGGGCUGCAGCCUUCAGGCUGCUCCCUUGGAACAGCACAGCCAAGGAAAAGGAAAGGAAGUUCUGUCCUCCCCACCUCAGGAGAGCCCCCAAAUCUGUGAUCAGCCCCAGUGUAGGGAUUGGCUGGUCUCCCUCAGUCCCAACUCUCCGUGGACAGGCUUGUCUGUAAAAAUUCCCAAACCUCAGAGCUCCCAGAGGAUUGUUCUCCUCAGGGGCUCCAAACAGUCAGCAAAAAAUGUUAAAGGACCUGUCCUGCCCAGCAUGGAACAACCACAUCUAUGGUGCUUCCCAAGUGGAAACCAGAGCAGGUCUGCUACCCCAAAUCCUGCCUUGUUCCUGGUUUGCUUCACUUUUGUAGUUCCAAACUGGAUGUUUCAUAUGAACUGAGGGUGAAGUUUUGGAGUUUUGUAGCCAGAAUUCCCUGUACAGAAGUGGAAUUCCUUAUUCGAGGGUACACAUUUGUCAAAGCCUUACAUUUUGUGCUGUACUUGCUAUCCUUGAACGCCUCCAUUUUUUAACAAGGAGUGUUUUUAUCCUUUCUACAAGAUCUGCUUUGCCCCAGUUGGUGUUUGCAUGGAAAGGGAAGGGUGCUGUGAACUCCCUGGAAAUUCCCUGUCCCCUCCUGUGGGCAGGAAACCGGCACAGUUCCCCUCUGGCUCUUUUGUUUUCUCACAUUCUCCCAGCAGCCGAGCAAUCCCUGGGCUGGGUCAGCUGGGAGGGCCGGGGAGGGCUCUCCCGACGGACAAACAGAGCCCUCUCGGGUUUCAGCAGGAGUUAUGAGCUCAUAGUCUGUGCAGAGCACGGCUGGGAGGGAACUCUUCAUGAAUUUUUAAAGCAGUUCUCUGCCAAGACAGCUCCCAGCACAACCUGGAAUUCCAUAUUCCAAGGUGAAAGAGCAGCCUGGUGUGGGCUGCUGCUCCUCUGCCACCUGCUCAAACAGCUCCUUUGGCAGUGAACCCUGGGCUGCACCAUGACUGCUGGGUUAACCAGGGCAGGGCUGGCCCCCUGAGUUCCACAUUCCCUCCUCUUCUCCCUCAGAAUUAUUUUGAGCAGGUGAAAAAGCAUGGGAUGGGACCAGGCCUCCUGUCACACAGCUUGGUGUGCCCAGGAGGGGCAGCACCCCAGGGAAACUUCCAGCAAAUCACCCAGAGCAGGGAGCUGUCAGUGGGGAUGGGGAGAACCCCAUCCUGCUCCUGCUUCAGAGCAGGGGGGCAGGAAUUCCUCUUUGAGCAAUUCCCUUACAUCCCAAACACUUCUUGAAUCAAUUUCCUCUGAUUUGUGAGUUUGUUUUGUUUCUAUAUCACAGUAAAAGUUAUAAAGGUCUCUUAAAUCCUCAGCAUGAGCAGCAGCAGUUCCUGCUGUUGAAAUCCAUGACAAACUGAACUGGUUAAACUGGUGCAGUGUCUGGUCACAGACAGCCUGGAAUGAGGCAUUCCCAGCUGGAAAACUGCUCUGCCCUGUGAAAAAUGGCCCCAGUGAGGACAGAACAGCACAUAAUGCUCAUUUUUCCUACACAACAUCUGUCCCUGGUCUCCACAGGAGCCUGGUUUGUGUAGAACAGACUGGCUGGGGCUCCACCCUGAAUCCUGGACACACAUUGUCCAUGUCCAGCCCUCCUGGCUGAAUCCCAGCUCCCCAGCAGGUGCACAGCUUUCCUUGGAGCCAGUUUGCUCCCAGCAAAUUUGAUUUUCAAUCCAGGCUUCAAACUCAGCCUCAUUCUUGUGUAACUUUGCUGUGUGUGAGCUGAACUUUCCACUCAUCACAACAGGUGAGGAGACUCUGGCCAUGCCAAUUCCAGAUCCCAGGGCUGAGGGAAUUGUAAAUACCAUGGGAAUUAGGCUUCCCUAGAACCAGUCUGAGAAGAAGGGAGGGAUCCUCACUGCUGCUCCUGCCUUGGCUCUCUACACCACAAAAUACAAACAGGUCAAUAUUUUUCCCUGACAAACUUUAUUUGAGUACAGGAGUGAAUUUUGAUGUGACUUCAGUGUCCACUCUGAGGCAAUUACUGAAGUGCUUCAAUUUCCCAAGGUUUUUAAUAUUUACAGGAAGUGACUUUGGAGCUUGAUAAAUAUUCACUGAAAGCAUCUGAAGAUUAAAUGGCCAUUAUUAGUUACACCAUAAUUAAUUACACCUUUAUUAGUUACACCUUUAUCAGCAGUUACAGGUGGCACCAAGCAGAGCAGACCCAGCUGCAGUGGGAUUUAACCCCCUGGGUUUUUACAGCAUCCCUUUUCCAGUCAUUCACCACAGUUUAUCACAAAACCCUCCCAUCCUUGUUGGUCCUGAGGCCACUGCAAAUUCCCCAGUCUGCCCCAGGGGAUUGCCAAGGGAAUGGCAGGCAGGGAAUGCCCAGUUCUGGCAUUUUGCUGAUCCAGUACCAUUGGGAUGUAACUCCAGCAGGGUCACUGUGCAGGUUUCCCCCUCACCAAAGCAAGGGCAGGGCCUGUGCUCGGGGUUCCUGGAGCUCCAGGAGGCUCCUGGUCCUGGCUGGAUGGGGCUUCUCUCUUUUGUAAAAGGAAUUUCAUAUGCUGAGACUCUUUGUACAUAUUUAUAAGGAAUUUAUUAAAAAAAAAAAGAAAAAUAACUGUUCAAUGGC